rnacentral:rRNA from 1 species
UACGAAGGGGGCUAGCGUUGUUCGGAGUUACUGGGCGUAAAGGGCGCGUAGGCGGCGCACCAAGUCAGGCGUGAAAGCCCUGGGCUCAACCCGGGAAUUGCGCUUGAGACUGGUGUGCUUGAGUACGGGAGAGGAUAGUGGAAUUCCCAGUGUAGAGGUGAAAUUCGUAGAUAUUGGGAAGAACACCGGUGGCGAAGGCGGCUAUCUGGACCGUAACUGGCGCUGAGGCGCGAAAGCGUGGGGAGCAAACAGG